UUGCCCUCGGAUCAUGGUAGGAAUGCCACGCUCAAAUAUAAU
rnacentral:rRNA from 1 species